rnacentral:rRNA from 1 species
ACUGCAAGUCGAGCGGAAGAAGGGAGCUUGCUCCCGGAUGUUAGCGGCGGACGGGUGAGUAACACGUGGGUAACCUGCCUGUAAGACUGGGAUAACUCCGGGAAACCGGAGCUAAUACCGGAUAGUUCCUUGAACCGCAUGGUUCAAGGAUGAAAGACGGUUUCGGCUGUCACUUACAGAUGGACCCGCGGCGCAUUAGCUAGUUGGUGGGGUAAUGGCUCACCAAGGCGACGAUGCGUAGCCGACCUGAGAGGGUGAUCGGCCACACUGGGACUGAGACACGGCCCAGACUCCUACGGGAGGCAGCAGUAGGGAAUCUUCCGCAAUGGACGAAAGUCUGACGGAGCAACGCCGCGUGAGUGAUGAAGGUUUUCGGAUCGUAAAGCUCUGUUGUUAGGGAAGAACAAGUGCGAGAGUAACUGCUCGCACCUUGACGGUACCUAACCAGAAAGCCACGGCUAACUACGUGCCAGCAGCCGCGGUAAUACGUAGGUGGCAAGCGUUGUCCGGAAUUAUUGGGCGUAAAGGGCUCGCAGGCGGUUUCUUAAGUCUGAUGUGAAAGCCCCCGGCUCAACCGGGGAGGGUCAUUGGAAACUGGGAAACUUGAGUGCAGAAGAGGAGAGUGGAAUUCCACGUGUAGCGGUGAAAUGCGUAGAGAUGUGGAGGAACACCAGUGGCGAAGGCGACUCUCUGGUCUGUAACUGACGCUGAGGAGCGAAAGCGUGGGGAGCGAACAGGAUUAUAUACCCUGGUAGUCCACGCCGUAAACGAUGAGUGCUAAUUGUUAGGGGGUAUCCGCUCCUUUGNUGUUGUAUUUAAUUCAUU